UACGAAGGGUGCUAGCGUUGUUCGGAAUCACUGGGCGUAAAGGGUGCGUAGGCGGCUAGACAAGUCAGGGGUGAAAGCCUGGAGCUUAACUCCAGAACUGCCCUUGAAACUGUCUGGCUAGAGUGUCGGAGGGGAUAGCGGAAUUUCUAAUGUAGCGGUGAAAUGCGUAGAUAUUAGAAGGAACACCGGUGGCGAAGGCGGCUAUCUGGACGACAACUGACGCUGAGGCACGAAAGCGUGGGGAUCAAACAGG
rnacentral:rRNA from 1 species